UCGUCGUGGUUUUAUUCUGCUAGUUAUGUUAUUCACGACGCAAGCGCUGAGCGGUGGCUUUGCCAUAAUAACGUAUGCAUCGGUUAUUUUGGCCUCAAUGGGAACCGAGCUAGCUUACCCCGAAUUGCAAACAAUCAGUUUACCAAUCGUAAUGAUCAUAGCGUCAUUAAUGUUGACAAUUAUUGCUGAGAAAUUCGGUAGACGGACCUUACAAGCGACUGGGUACUCAAUAUCAGCGCUAACAUUCACAAUAUUGGCUACGUUUAUUCUCCUACAAGACUAUGGCUAUGCCACUCCCGCAUGGCUGCCUAUUGGAUGCAUGGUCACUAUUGUUGCUAUGUACGCAGGCACUAUUCGGCCUUUGCCAUUCAUAGUUGCCGCGGAGUUACUGCAUUUCAGAGUACGUGCAAAAUUAAUGGGCGUGUUGGCAAUGUUAAUUGGACUGAUGAAUUCUGUUCAUCUCUUUUCGUAUAUCCCAUUGAAAACUUAUCUCGGUUUGUCA